rnacentral:lncRNA from 1 species
UAACAUUUUUUUUACCAUUACAAACUUGAUUUAUUUCAUUAAUAACAAGUGUCUCAAUACAAGAUGGAAUAUUAUCAAGAAUGUGGGAACUAGCAUAAAAUAAUGACGUCAUUGCUAACAAAUGGCCAAUAUUAUUUUCUUGUCUUCUAAUGAAACUUUUCUUAAAGUUUUGGUAGGUUCUAACUGAAGUUUUUCAAAUAUCAAUAAUUGCGUCAAACUUGAAAUUGGUGUUGAGUCUCCUAGUUAUGUUGUCAACCACUUGCUUGUAAUCAAGUUUGAUAGACACCUUAUAUAGACCCACAUUGUCAAACUGUCAAACCAUUUUAUCACUUCCUUUAAGCCUUGUGCCUCCGCUUCGUGUGGUUAUGGUAAUCCAAAGAACCAAGUUGUUUUUACCUUUAUGAACUCUCCUAGACAUCCUCAGAUGCACAUGCUUAUUUUAUAACACCCUUGUUCCUUGAAGAUUGCUACAUCAAUAUUGCACUUGACCUCUCCCACCUCCGGUUUGCUCCAAUUAUCAUGAUUAUGGCUUAUUGUUUUGAUAGAAUUGCUUUCUCCUUCUGCCCUGCAGUAUGCAUGUUCCCGGAUACCUUCUGAUUUCUUCUCUUCCAUAUGCACCACAAAGUCAUAACAAAAAUAAGGAGUUAUUGAUGAGGUAGUUGUUCGAGUAGUUGAAUG